GAUAUUUGUGGUAAUUCUAUAAUUAAUACAUACGCAACAGCGGCAUAUUAAAUGAGAGCAAGAAGUGUAAGCUUCUACUAAAGGAUUGUUUUUAUGCAUGGAUCACAUACAUGUAAGUGAGAGUCCUUAAAAGUUUCUGACCUAUCAGGUUUCGACGGUUAGGUAUUGGCUAACCGUGCCGUUUACGGGUAACGGGGGAUUAGGGUUUGAUUCCGGAGAAGGAGCAUGAGAGACGGCUACUACGUCUAAGGAAGGCAGCAGGCGCGUAAAUUACCAAUCCUCGAUACGGGGAGGUAGUAAAUAGAAAUAAUGACGCAGGAAUAUAUUUUCUGCGAUCGGAAUGAACAGCUCUUAAACACAGCUAUGAAAACUAUUGGAGGGCAAGUCUGGUGCCAGCAGCCGCGGUAAUUCCAGCUCCAAUGGCGUAUAUUAAAGUUGUUGCAGUUAAAAUGCUCGUAGUCGGCUCUUCACCUUUGAGUAUCCAUUGUGCUAUUGCCUGUGGUGCAUAGAAGGAGUUAGAAGUUGUCACCUUUGGUGGCUGGCUUUUAUUGUUACUUUGAGUGAAUCGUAGUGCUUCGCACAGGCAUAUGUCAUACACGAUCUACCAUGGAAUAUCCAUAAUCUGAAAGCGUUUGUUUUGGUUUCGCCGACGCUUUUUAUACAUAUAUGAACGGCUGAGGGUAUUUAUAUUCAACUGUUAGAGGUGAAAUUCUUUGAUUAGUUGAGGAUAAGCUAUUGCGAAAGCAUCUGCCAAAGACGUUUUGGUUGAUCAAGAACGAAAGUUAGUGAUCGAAGAUGAUUAGAUACCGUUGUAGUCCUAACUAUAAACGAUGUU
rnacentral:rRNA from 1 species